rnacentral:rRNA from 1 species
UCGGACGGGUCAGUAACGCGUGAGAAUCUGGCUCUAGGUUCGGGACAACCACUGGAAACGGUGGCUAAUACCGGGUAUGCCGAGAGGUGAAAGGUUAACUGCCUGGAGAUGAGCUCGCGUCUGAUUAGCUAGUUGGUGGUGUAAGGGACUACCAAGGCGACGAUCAGUAGCUGGUCUGAGAGGAUGAUCAGCCACACUGGAACUGAGACACGGUCCAGACUCCUACGGGAGGCAGCAGUGGGGAAUUUUCCGCAAUGGGCGAAAGCCUGACGGAGCAAUACCGCGUGAGGGAGGAAGGCUCUUGGGUUGUAAACCUCUUUUCUCAGGGAAUAAGCAAGUGAAGGUACCUGAGGAAUCAGCAUCGGCUAACUCCGUGCCAGCAGCCGCGGUAAUACGGAGGAUGCAAGCGUUAUCCGGAAUGAUUGGGCGUAAAGCGUCCGUAGGUGGCUGUGUGUGUCUAUUGUUAAAGAGUUUGGCUCAACCAAAUAAGGGCGGUAGAAACUACACAGCUAGAGUGCGUUCGGGGCAGAGGGAAUUCCUGGUGUAGCGGUGAAAUGCGUAGAGAUCAGGAAGAACACCGGUGGCGAAAGCGCUCUGCUAGGCCGCAACUGACACUGAGGACGAAAAACUAAACGGCUCU